CUACAUUAGUUCACUAUGCAUGUUGAUAUCAUUGAGACUCUACUACUUCACAUAUCUUAAUUAUAAGUGAGACUGAUUAAUUUAAAUUUUCUCUCAUAUACUAGACAGUGAUUAUAAACUCUGAUGUUUUUGUUACCUUGAGACAAAACCCCCCUGAAAAAUAAGCAUGGUACUCCUUUGAGAUCUUAGAUGUUAAUAUGACAGUGACUGGGAAGAACCAAACAUUUGCUGGUAUUAAGUAAUUGCUAAGAUUUUAUAAUCUAUGGUGACCAG
rnacentral:lncRNA from 1 species